GACGAACGCUGGCGGCGUGCUUAACACAUGCAAGUCGAGCGGAAAGGCCCUUUCGGGGGUACUCGAGCGGCGAACGGGUGAGUAACACGUGAGUAAUCUGCCCUGUGCUCUGGGAUAGCCACCGGAAACGGUGAUUAAUACCGGAUAUGACCGGCUACUGCAUGGUGGUUGGUGGAAAGUUUUUUCGGCAUGGGAUGUGCUCGCGGCCUAUCAGCUUGUUGGUGAGGUAAUGGCUCACCAAGGCUUUGACGGGUAGCCGGCCUGAGAGGGUGACCGGUCACACUGGGACUGAGACACGGGCCAAACUCCUACGGGAGGCAGCAGUGGGGAAUCUUGCGCAAUGGGCGAAAGCCUGACGCAGCCAUGCCGCGUGGAUGAAGACGGUCCUCUGGAUUGUAAACUGCUUUUGUUAGGGAAGAAACCCUCGGAUGCGUCCGGGGCUGACGGUACCUAAAGAAUAAGGAUCGGCUAACUCCGUGCCAGCCGCCGCAGUAAGAC
rnacentral:rRNA from 1 species